rnacentral:rRNA from 1 species
GACAAACGCUGGCGGCGUGCCUAAUACAUGCAAGUCGAACGACGAAAGCCUUCGGGCAAGUAAGAGUGGCGCACGGGCGAGGAACACGUAGAUAAUCUGCCCUUCAGUGGGGAAUAACUCUCCGAAAGGAGUGCUAAUACCGCAUAAGACCACAAGCUCUGCGGAGCAAGGGGUUAAAGGAUUCAUUCGCUGAAGGAUGAGUCUGCGUCCGAUUAGCUAGUUGGUGAGGUAAUGGCUUACCAAGGCAAUGAUCGGUAGAUGGUCUGAGAGGAUGAUCAUCCGCACUGGAACUGAGACACGGUCAAGACUCCUACGGGAGGCAGCAGUAGGGAAUAUUGCACAAUGGGGGAAACCCUGAUGCAGCAACGCCGCGUGAGUGAUGAAGGCUCUAGGGUCGUAAGCUCUGUCGUAUGGGAAGAAAAAAAUGACGGUACCAUACAAGAAAGGACCGGCCAACUUCGUGCCAGCCGCCGCCGUAA